rnacentral:rRNA from 1 species
UACGUAGGGUGCGAGCGUUGUCCGGAAUUAUUGGGCGUAAAGAGCUCGUAGGCGGUGUGUCACGUCGGCCGUGAAAACCUGCAGCUUAACUGUGGGCGUGCGGUCGAUACGGGCAUCACUGGAGUUCGGCAGGGGAGACUGGAAUUCCUGGUGUAGCGGUGAAAUGCGUAGAUAUCUGGAGGAACACCGGUGGCGAAGGCGGCAUCCUGGACCAAUACUGACGCUGAGGAGCGAAAGCCAGGGGAGCAAACGGG